UAACAGUAUAAUUUUGCAACUAGUACUUUUUCUCAUUUAAUCGAACAAAGAGUAAAACCUAAUUAAAUUAUUCUAAUAUGCCCCGAGAGUGUAAAUUUGGAACGAAUCGAUGUCAACGUUCACAAGAACCAAAACAGGAACAACAUUAGACUACUCAGUUGCGCCAUAACAGUAUAACUUUUCAACGAGUACUUUUUCUCAUUGUAUCGAACAAGGAGUAAAAGCUUUCUAUUAUGCCCCGAGAGUGUAAAUUUGGAACGAAUCGAUGUCAAUGUUCACAAGUACCAAAACCGGAACAACGUUAGUGUCACGCCCCGAGACCGCUACCAAUUUGGUCCGGCCCCGGACGCGUCGAACAGACGCCGAACGGACAGGACCUCCCCUGUCCGUCCAAGGCUAACCAACGGAUCAUGUAUAAGAAUUUACCCAGGAAUCAAUUCAUAAAUACACGAUCAAAAAGCACCACCAGUGCAAC
rnacentral:lncRNA from 1 species